GUGGGGAAUAUUGGGCAAUGGGCGAAAGCCUGACCCAGCAACGCCGCGUGAAGGAAGAAAGUCUUCGGAUCGUAAACUUCUAUCCUUGGUGAAGAUAAUGACGGUAGCCGAGAAGGAAGCCCCGGCUAACUACGUGCCAGCAGCCGCGGUAAUACGUAGGGGGCAAGCGUUGUCCGGAAUGAUUGGGCGUAAAGGGCGCGUAGGCGGCCUGGUAAGUCUGGAGUGAAAGUCCUGCUUUUAAGGUGGGAAUUGCUUUGGAUACUGUCGGGCUUGAGUGCAGGAGAGGUAAGUGGAAUUCCCGGUGUAGCGGUGAAAUGCGUAGAGAUCGGGAGGAACACCAGUGGCGAAGGCGACUUACUGGACUGUAACUGACGCUGAGGCGCGAAAGUGUGGGGAGCAAACAGGAUUAGAAACCCCAGUAGUCC
rnacentral:rRNA from 1 species